CCCUUAGAUGUUCUGGGCUGCACGCGCGCUACACUGAAGCGUUCAACGAGUAUUCACCUUGCCCGGGAGGGUUGGGUAAUCUUUUGAAAACGCUUCGUGAUGGGGAUAGAUUAUUGCAAUUAUUAAUCUUCAACGAGGAAUGCCUAGUAAGCGUGAUUCAUCAAAUCGCGUUGAUUACGUCCCUGCCCUUUGUACACACCGCCCGUCGCUCCUACCGAUUGAGUGUGUUGGUGAGGAGUUUGGAUUGGCCUCGGAAGGUGGUUCGCCACCGUCCGUAGCUGAGAAGUUCUCCAAACCGCCCCACUUAGAGGAAGGAGAAGUCGUAACA
rnacentral:rRNA from 1 species